UACGGAGGGGGCUAGCGUUGUUCGGAAUUACUGGGCGUAAAGCGCACGUAGGCGGCUUUGUAAGUUAGAGGUGAAAGCCCGGAGCUCAACUCCGGAACUGCCUUUAAGACUGCAUCGCUUGAAUCAUGGAGAGGUCAGUGGAAUUCCGAGUGUAGAGGUGAAAUUCGUAGAUAUUCGGAAGAACACCAGUGGCGAAGGCGACUGACUGGACAUGUAUUGACGCUGAGGUGCGAAAGCGUGGGAGCAAACAGG
rnacentral:rRNA from 1 species